UGAAAUGCUGUGGGGAUCCCAGA
rnacentral:piRNA from 1 species